AUGUAUGGCGCAGCUACACAUGCAAGUCGAGCGGAUGAAGAGAGCUUGCUCUUUGAUUCAGCGGCGGACGGGUGAGUAAUGCCUAGGAAUCUGCCUGAUAGUGGGGGACAACGUUUCGAAAGGAACGCUAAUACCGCAUACGUCCUACGGGAGAAAGCAGGGGACCUUCGGGCCUUGCGCUAUCAGAUGAGCCUAGGUCGGAUUAGCUAGUUGGUGAGGUAAUGGCUCACCAAGGCGACGAUCCGUAACUGGUCUGAGAGGAUGGUCAGUCACACUGGAACUGAGACACGGUCCAGACUCCUACGGGAGGCAGCAGUGGGGAAUAUUGGACAAUGGGCGAAAGCCUGAUCCAGCCAUGCCGCGUGUGUGAAGAAGGUCUUCGGAUUGUAAAGCACUUUAAGUUGGGAGGAAGGGCAUUAACCUAAUACGUUAGUGUUUUGACGUUACCGACAGAAUAAGCACCGGCUAACUUCGUGCCAGCAGCCGCGGUAAUACGAAGGGUGCAAGCGUUAAUCGGAAUUACUGGGCGUAAAGCGCGCGUAGGUGGUUUGUUAAGUUGAAUGUGAAAGCCCCGGGCUCAACCUGGGAACUGCAUCCAAAACUGGCAAGCUAGAGUAUGGCAGAGGGUGGUGGAAUUUCCUGUGUAGCGGUGAAAUGCGUAGAUAUAGGAAGGAACACCAGUGGCGAAGGCGACCACCUGGGCUAAUACUGACACUGAGGUGCGAAAGCGUGGGGAGCAAACAGGAUUAGAUACCCUGGUAGUCCACGCCGUAAACGAUGUCGACUAGCCGUUGGGAUCCUUGAGAUCUUAGUGGCGCAGCUAACGCAUUAAGUCGACCGCCUGGGGAGUACGGCCGCAAGGUUAAAACUCAAAUGGAUUGACGGGGGCCCGCACAAGCGGUGGAGCAUGGUGGUUUAAUUCGAAGCAACGCGAGACCUUACCAGGCCUUGACAUGCAGGAGACUUUCCAGAGAUGGAUUGGUGCCUUCGGGAACUCUGACCACA
rnacentral:rRNA from 1 species